GGAGGAGGCAAGCGUUGUCCGGGAAUCAUUGGGGCGUAAAGAGCGCGUAGGCUGUUUUUCAAGUCAUUUGUGAAAACCUCAGGGCUUAACUUGAGGACUGCAUAUGAAACUGGAAAACUUGAGUGCAGUAGGGGAAAGUGGAAUUCCUGGUGUAGCGGUGAAAUGCGCAGAUAUCAGGAAGAACACCGGUAGCGAAGGCGGCUUUCUGGGCUGCUACUGACGCUGAGGCGCGAAAGCUAGGGGAGCAAACAGGAUUAGAUACCCUGGUAGUCCUAGCUGUAAACGAUGGACACUAGGUGUGGGGAGUUAUCGACGCUUUCCGUGCCGGAGCUAACGCAUUAAGUGUCCCGCCUGGGGAGUACGGUCGCAAGACUA
rnacentral:rRNA from 1 species